CCACAGUCACGUUCCUGGUUUCCCACGUUUGUUUGUACCUGAAUGUAUCAUUUCUUAUCAGAAAGUUAAAAGGCAUUCUGAUGGAAACCUGUUUACCCGCCGAGGUUAAGGAUUAAAGUCGAGACUUCCGUGACAACGAUGCUGCUCCUGCCGGAUGUGACGGGUCUGGAGUAAUUGCACCAAGAAUGACAAGAAAUCACUACAGACUUUAUUGAAGACUAGAGCGAAUAACAACUCUAUUAUUAUGUAUUUAUUUAUUUAUCUAUUUAUUACCAGUUAUAACUUUUAGAUCAUUUAAUUCUGUGUUUGUAUGCUUUGUGUAAAUCGUGUAUUUAUUUAAAGUUUCCUCCAGACCACCCAAGAAGGAUGGGCCCUGCUGAGUCUGGUUCCUCUCAAGGUUUCAUCCUGUAAUUUUCAGGGAGUUUUUCCUUGCCACAGUCGCCCUCGGCUUGCUCAACAGGGGUUUUUUGUAUCUGUUGGUCCUGGAUUUUGUAAAGUUGCUUUGAGACAAUGCCUAUUGCAAAUAGCGCUAUAUAAAUAAAGUUGACUUGACAAGGCUGAUGAUUUUACUAUAAUUUAACUCUUAUUACUUUAGUCUGUGUAAUUUACACCUGUCUAUUUGGGCUAGAUAAAACUAGCUAUUUAGGAUCCCCCAAAUACCAGAUGUAUUGCAUUUGUGUUUUUGUAAUCCAAUUAUUUUAUGCUUGGAUUAUUAGAUUAGAUUAAAUUCAACUUCAUUGUCAUUGUGCAGAGUAAGCAAGUACAAAGCCAACGAAAUGCAAUAGCAUCUAACCAGAAGUGCAAGAUAGAGAUUCUAUACAUAUAAUACAGUUAAAGUGCAGAAGUGACCAGAUAAGUGAAAUGAGGAGACUGUCAUGUAAUGGGAUUUACAUAUUGUCUGGCCCUUUAAGAGUGAUAAGUGUACUAUGCUAGGGCAUAGGGAGCGAGUGUGUAGUGAACGUAAGGGAAUUGACCGUCUCCGGCUGUGCUCGUGUUGUCAUGUUUUGCUCUGAGCUUGUGUGCGAUUAAAAAGUAACGUUCGCGUUAAACCCCGA